CGCCAGCGCCCAAUGGGGCGGAGUUUGGCUGCGUGGGGCGGCUGUGCCCCACGGCGCUGCCCCACCGACCGCGCCCUCCACGGGAAUCUGCCCCAUAGCGCCGCCUCUGCCCCACAGCAACGGGUCUGCCCCAUAGCAGUGGGUCUGCCCCAUAGCGCUGGGUGUGACCCAUAGCAGUGGGUCUGCCCCAUAGCGCUGGGUGUGACCCAUAGCAGUGGGUCUGCACCAUAGCAUUGCCUCUGCCCCACAGCAACGGGUCUGCCCCAUAGCGCCGGGUGUGACCCAUAGCAGUGGGUCUGCCCCAUAGCACUGGGUGUGACCCAUAGCAGUGGGUCUGCCCCACAGCGCUGGGUGUGACCCAUAGCAGUGGGUCUGCCCCAUAGCGCUGGGUGUGGCCCAUAGCACUGGGUCUGCCCCAUAGCGUUGCCGCUGCCCCACAGCAACGGGGGUGACCCAUAGCGCUGCCCCUGCCCCAUAGCACUGGGUCUGCCCCAUAGCGCUGGGUGUGACCCAUAGCGCUGCCUCUGCCCCACAGCAAUGGGUGUGGCCCAUAGCGCUACCUCUGCCCUAUAGCGCUGGGUGUGACCCAUAGCGCUACCUCUGCCCCACAGCAAUGGGUGUGACCCAUAGCGCUACCUCUGCCCCAUAGCACUGCGUCUGCCCCAUAGCGCUGGGUGUGACCCAUAGCAGUGGGUCUGCCCUAUGGUGUUGCAUCUGCCCUAUAGUGCCGGGUCUGCCCCAUAGCACUGCAUCUGCCCCAUAGCAAAGGGUGGGACCCAUAGCAGUGGGUCUGCCCUAUAGUGCUGCAACUGCCCCAUAGCGCUGGGUCUGCCCCAUAACCUCUCCUACGAGGAGCUCUGCCCCAUAACCUCCCCCACGUGGGGCUCUGCCCCAUAGCGUAACCACGGAACACCAUCACACUAUGGGCUCUGCCCCAUAACCUCCACCAUGUGGGGCUCUGCCCCAUAGCGUAACCACGGAACACCAUCACAGUAUGGGCUCUGCCCCAUAACCUCCGCCAUGUGGGGCUCUGCCCCAUAGCGUAACCACGGAACACCAUCACACUAUGGGCUCUGCCCCAUAACCUCCCUCACGUGGCGCUCUGCCCCAUAGCGUAACCACUGGACCCCAUCACACUAUGGGCUCUGCCCCAUAACCUCCUCCAUGUGGGGCUCUGCCCCAUAGCACAACCACAGGACCCCAUCACACUAUGGGCUCUGCCCCAUAACUCCCCCAUGUAAGGCUCUGCCCCAUAGCGUAACCACCGGACUCCAUCACACUAUGGGCUCUGCCCCAUAACCUCCCCCACGUGGGGCUCUGCCCCAUAGCGUAACCACCGGACCCCAUCACAGUAUGAGCUCUGCCCCAUAACCUCCCCCACGUGGGGCUCUGCCCCAUAACCUCCCCCAUGUGGGGCUCUGCCCCAUAACCUCCUCCAUGUGGGGCUCUGCCCCAUAGUGUAACCACCGGACCCCAUCACACUAUGGGCUCUGUCCCAUAACCUCCCCCAUGUGGGGCUCUGCCCCAUAACCUCCCCCACGUGGGGCUCUGCCCCAUAGCGCAACCACGGAACACCAUCACAGUAUGAGCUCUGCCCCAUAACCUCCUCCAUGUGGGGCUCUGCCCCACAGCGUAACCACCGGACUCCAUCACACUAUGGGCUCUGCCCCAUAACCUCCCUCAUGUGGGGCUCUGCCCCAUAGCGCAACCACAGGACCCCAUCACACUAUGGGCUCUGCCCCAUAACCUCCCCCACGUGGGCCUCUGCCCCAUAACCUCCCCCACGUGGGCCUCUGCCCCAUAGCG
ensembl:lncRNA